GUUCCUACUUUCUGGAUCCAUCUGGUUGCACGUUUGGCGUCUUUAUAUCUUGGUAAUAGAAAAUCUAAACCAAACUGGCUUAAGGAAGAAGGAAAUGCAUCAUUUGGGUUGUUUUGUGAGCCAAUCACAGAAUGCCCGGUGACAAGUGAUGUAAGCAACAAGGACACUUAUUACCUCUUGUGACAAGAUAUCCAGUGGGAGGACUGUUGCAGCUUGGGUUCAGCAAUUUUGUUAAGUCAUCAAGGACCUGGGGUCUUUCUGCCUUGUAAUGUUAAUUUGUUAAUUUUUCCUCAUGUGGCCACAAGAUGGCUGCCUCAUUUUGAAGAACACAGGUGGACAACCUUGGACUACAGGGGAGCAUUUCCUUUCAGUGUCUGUUUUUAAUGUGGAGAAAACGUUUCUGAGAAGACCUUCAGUAGACUUCUCCUUAGUCCUUUCAGUCAGGAUUGCACCAUAUUCCAUGGCACAGCACUUCCUCUUCUUUUGGCAUGAUUGCAUGUCUGUAGGACCACAGCUCCUGUCUGGUGGCCCCUUUUCCAUAGCCUCAACCUUCAUCUGGUUCCAGUAACACUGCUUCUUCGCUCUGACACUUCAGGCCCAGAAAGAGUAAGGUCUUCGCACCACUGUUCAUCCCAGGUACCACUGUUAGUUUCCUACUGUUGCGAAAUACCACAAUCCUGGUCUCCACUUUUUGGCUUUGCUUGCUUGUGCUUUUGGGAAACAACAUCUGCAGUAGAACUCAAAAUAUAAAGAAUGAAAUUUAGGCAUUUUCUGAAUAAAAUUCCAUCUGUCUUGGGCCCUGUUAAGGAUCUUUUAGAAUAUUUUAGGUGUUGUUUUUUUAAAAAGAUGUAUUUAUUUGACAGAG